GACCUUGCUCUGUUGUGUAGUGUGCGAGUUGCUCUGUUCCCGUGGUUGCUGCGCUCCGCGUGUCUUCUCUUCUGAUAUCCAGCGCCUUAUCCAACCUGGAUCAAGGAGUGGUGUGCUGAGGACACGGUGGAUUGAGUGGGCUGAAGCGCGAGCACAAGUGCUUGGAAAUAGCGUCCCAAAUGCCGAGGUGAUUUGUAAUUUGAGAUGACGCACGGUUUGAGGCGUUCUGCUCAAUUACACCACCUCUGGCGAUCCAAACGACUUUGGACUGAGUCUUGGACGUACUCGGUCGCCAUCGUGUUAACUCGUGAAUCUUCUCCAAAUGUGAAUCUUUUUCAAACGGUUUCAUCAGAACAUUGCUGAGGUUGUGCAUUCGGUGGAGUGCAUCCCGUCGCGGAGAGCGAGAAUGAGAAGAUUCACGAGUUGCAGCGACAUUUACAUUGACAGGGUGUGAGAAAUCAGCGAAUGGUGACACGGAGCAGAUGGGGCCUAGUGGAUUUAUUGACAUAUAGGCCCCUUUCCGAGGUGCAGCUGGUGUGGUGGCAUCAUACCCUCCCGGUCCCGGGCCCUCGGGGCUCCGUGAAAAUCCGAGACACAUUCUCCACCUAGAUCCGAUUUUCUAGGGAGAUGGAUAGUUGGGAUUAUAUGUACUGAUUGUGUGUUUUCUCCUUUGCAUUACCAUUAGUGUUGUGAAAUGCAUCAGUAGCUGAUCAUUUUGCACCUAAUUCGCGUAGUUUUGUUUGAGAUGUUUUGGUCGAGAUGGACAAGAAUGUGGUAGCUGGUCGGGCUAGCCAGAGCACAACUAAAGGGCAAAUCUCUUGCCCUUCAUGCAGUCGCAGUGCCAGUAGGAGAUUCGGAGGAAAGGUCCACACAGGUAGAAACACUAUUCGCCUAUAUUCCGCAAGCCAACAUCGGAAACUCAAGUUGGAUGAGAGCGAGGGUGAGGGCGGAAAACAAUGGAGGCAUAAGGGAGUUCACAAUGGAGAAGGAACAACACGCAGAAUUGGCGCAAUUAAGUGGCACACCAAGUUACUGGACGUCAAAUAAACAGGUAAUUUUGAAACUCACUCUCAAUUUGCUUCCAGUUUUGGACGAGGUGGACGAAAGCGAGUGUCGUACGCCUCCCUAAUACACCAACGCAGGGAAUACAAACUCCCUAACCCAUGGGUCAUAAUGUGGCUGAACCUUAAGUGGGAUUCAUGGAAAGGACCCCACUUGAGGACAAAAAGGACAUGAAUUUCGCAGGAUUUUGGGCAAUACAAAGCCAGAUACAGUAGCAUAGAUUUAAGGGAGAAUAGAUACUGAGAAAGUAUCGGCAACUUGGUUUAACAUUUUUCAAAUCAAAAUUUCAUGAAGUCGAAGGGCUGGUCAAAUAGAUAACUCUUGGCCUACUUAGUUAUCUCACUUCCCACUACCCAGAUUAUCAACAACCACAUAGUGUACAAAAGAUUGGAGAAGAGGAAAACGGAUUAGUUCCAAAUUUAGCCAAGAAGUGGCCUCCAGAUAUCACACAAAGACAAUCAUUUGAAAAGGCAUCAAGAGAACUUAAAAUAGUAGUGGAACCAAAGGAAACAUUAGGAAUUCUUGUUAAAUAAAAAUAGUAGUG